rnacentral:rRNA from 1 species
CACGCCGUAAACGAUGAGUACUAAGUGUUGGGGGAACCCAGUGCUGUAGUUAACAUAUUAAGUACUCCGCCUGAGUAGUACGUACGCAAGUAUGAAACUCAAAGGAAUUGACGGGACCCCGCACAAGCGGUGGAUGAUGUUGUUUAAUUCGAAGAUACGCGAAAAACCUUACCAGGUCUUGACAUACUCUGCAAAGCUAUAGAGAUAUAGUGGAGGUUAACAGAGAUACAGGUGGUGCAUGGUUGUCGUCAGCUCGUGUCGUGAGAUGUUGGGUUAAGUCCCGCAACGAGCGCAACCCUUAUUGCUAGUUACCAUCAUUAAGUUGGGGACUCUAGCGAGACUGCCAGUGAUAAACUG